GAUGAACGCUGGCGGCGUGCCUAAUACAUGCAAGUCGAGCGAACGGACGAGAAGCUUGCUUUUCUGAUGUUAGCGGCGGACGGGUGAGUAACACGUGGAUAACCUACCUAUAAGACUGGGAUAACUUCGGGAAACCGGAGCUAAUACCGGAUAAUAUUUUGAACCGCAUGGUUCAAAAGUGAAAGACGGUCUUGCUGUCACUUAUAGAUGGAUCCGCGCUGCAUUAGCUAGUUGGUAAGGUAACGGCUUACCAAGGCAACGAUGCAUAGCCGACCUGAGAGGGUGAUCGGCCACACUGGAACUGAGACACGGUCCAGACUCCUACGGGAGGCAGCAGUAGGGAAUCUUCCGCAAUGGGCGAAAGCCUGACGGAGCAACGCCGCGUGAGUGAUGAAGGUCUUCGGAUCGUAAAACUCUGUUAUUAGGGAAGAACAUAUGUGUAAGUAACUGUGCACAUCUUGACGGUACCUAAUCAGAAAGCCACGGCUAGCUACGUGCCAGCAGCCGCGGUAAUACGUAGGUGGCAAGCGUUAUCCGGAAUUAUUGGGCGUAAAGCGCGCGUAGGCGGUUUUUUAAGUCUGAUGUGAAAGCCCACGGCUCAACCGUGGAGGGUCAUUGGAAACUGGAAAACUUGAGUGCAGAAGAGGAAAGUGGAAUUCCAUGUGUAGCGGUGAAAUGCGCAGAGAUAUGGAGGAACACCAGUGGCGAAGGCGACUUUCUGGUCUGUAACUGACGCUGAUGUGCGAAAGCGUGGGGAUCAAACAGGAUUAGAUACCCUGGUAGUCCACGCCGUAAACGAUGAGUGCUAAGUGUUAGGGGGUUUCCGCCCCUUAGUGCUGCAGCUAACGCAUUAAGCACUCCGCCUGGGGAGUACGACCGCAAGGUUGAAACUCAAAGGAAUUGACGGGGACCCGCACAAGCGGUGGAGCAUGUGGUUUAAUUCGAAGCAACGCGAAGAACCUUACCAAAUCUUGACAUCCUUUGACAACUCUAGAGAUAGAGCCUUCCCCUUCGGGGGACAAAGUGACAGGUGGUGCAUGGUUGUCGUCAGCUCGUGUCGUGAGAUGUUGGGUUAAGUCCCGCAACGAGCGCAACCCUUAAGCUUAGUUGCCAUCAUUAAGUUGGGCACUCUAAGUUGACUGCCGGUGACAAACCGGAGGAAGGUGGGGAUGACGUCAAAUCAUCAUGCCCCUUAUGAUUUGGGCUACACACGUGCUACAAUGGACAAUACAAAGGGCAGCGAAACCGCGAGGUCAAGCAAAUCCCAUAAAGUUGUUCUCAGUUCGGAUUGUAGUCUGCAACUCGACUACAUGAAGCUGGAAUCGCUAGUAAUCGUAGAUCAGCAUGCUACGGUGAAUACGUUCCCGGGUCU
rnacentral:rRNA from 1 species